GAUGAAGAACGUAGCGAAAUGCGAUACGUAAUGUGAAUUGCAGAUUUCAGUGAAUCAUCGAAUCUUUGAACGCACAUUGCGCCCGCUAGUAUUCUGGCGGGCAUGCCUGUUCGAGCGUCAUUUCAACCAUCAAGCCCCCGGCUUGCGUUGGAGCCCUGCGGCUGCCGCAGGCUCCCAAAUCCAGUGGCGGGCUCGUCGUCGUACCGAGUGCAGUAAACAUCCUCGCUCAGGGAACGUGACGGGUUCUUGCCGUGAAACCCCCCACAUAUCAAGGUUGACCUCGGAUCAGGUAGGAAUACCCGCUGAACUUAAGCAUAUCAAUAAGCGGAGG
rnacentral:misc_RNA from 1 species